rnacentral:rRNA from 2 species
UAAGGAAUAUUGGUCAAUGGAGGCAACUCUGAACCAGCCAUGCCGCGUGCAGGAAGACGGCCCUCUGGGUUGUAAACUGCUUUUAUUCGGGAAUAAACCUACUUACGUGUAAGUAGCUGAAUGUACCGAAGGAAUAAGGAUCGGCUAACUCCGUGCCAGCAGCCGCGGUAAUACGGAGGAUCCAAGCGUUAUCCGGAUUUAUUGGGUUUAAAGGGUGCGUAGGCGGCCUAUUAAGUCAGGGGUGAAAGACGGUAGCUCAACUAUCGCAGUGCCCUUGAUACUGAUGGGCUUGAAUGAACUAGAGGUAGGCGGAAUGUGACAAGUAGCGGUGAAAUGCAUAGAUAUGUCACAGAACACCGAUUGCGAAGGCAGCUUACUAUGGUUUUAUUGACGCUGAGGCACGAAAGCGUGGGGAUCAAACA